GGGGUUUCACCAUGUUGCCCAGGCUGGUCUCGAACUCCUGACCUCAAGUGAUCCGCCUGCCUCGGCCUCCCACUGUGCUGGGAUUACAGGGGUGAGCCACCACCCAGCCCAGUAUUGUCCGUCUUGUAGAGUAUUUGCAUUCUAAUUCUCUUUGCUGUUCGUCUUUCAUGAAGAGAUCCUGGCAUAGCUAUGGCCAAAUGAAGCAGCAUUGUGUUUAUUUAGUUCAUUUACUGUUUAAUAGGAGCUUGCUGAAAGCCAAAUCCCACCCUAAAGAGAAACCAGACAUGGCUACAUAGUCAUAUGAUGAAUCACAAGUGAGAAUACGCACAGAUCCUGUCCCUUGCCCCUGGAAGACAACACCUGUGGACUUUGCUUAGUGCCAAGCGAAAACAAGUGAAUGCUAUCUCUUUGACAUAUUCUUUCUGUAUAGGCCAGA
rnacentral:lncRNA from 1 species